GGCGGAACCGGAAGUGGUGGGGGACGCGCUGGUCCCCAGCAUGGCGGCCACCUGGCCCUCCGCGCUGGUUGCUCCGGAGGCCGUGGCCGCCCAGCUCCUGGGUGUCCUGUGGCUCGUGCCAGUCACCACGGGACCUUGGGGAGCUGCUGCCAUCGCCGCCGCCAGUAGCGAAGAGACGAUUAAGUGCGAGGACCUCAAAUUGGGACAAUAUAUUUGUAAAGAUCCAAAAAUAAAUAAUGCUACACAAGAACCAGUUAACUGUACAAACUACACAGCUCAUGUUCCUUGUUUUCCAGCACCCAACAUAACUUGUAAGGAUUUUGGUGGCAAUGAAACACAUUUUACUGGAAAUGAAGUUGGUUUUCUCAAGCCUAUAUCUUGCCGAAAUGUAAAUGGUUAUUCAUACAAAGUGGCAGUUGCGCUCUCUCUUUUCCUUGGAUGGUUGGGAGCAGAUCGAUUUUACCUUGGAUAUCCUGCCUUGGGAUUGUUGAAGUUUUGCACUGUAGGGUUUUGUGGAAUUGGGAGCCUAAUUGAUUUCAUUCUUAUUUCAAUGCAGAUCGUUGGACCUUCAGAUGGAAGUAGUUACAUUAUAGAUUAUUAUGGAACCAGACUUACAAGACUGAGUAUUACUAAUGAGACAUUUAGAAAAACACAGCUAUAUCCAUAAAUAUUUUUAAAAAGAAACAAGAUUACGGUAGAAGACAGAGUUCACAACAAAAAGAUAACAUCAAAGCAAAAAGAUAUUUCAUAGUAUUACAUGAUGGUUAUGAGGAAAGUUGACUGAGUCUUAACCCAGAACUACUGAUUUCGGCUUCCUUGAUUCCAAUAGAGCACUCUCAGUCUGUGGAUUUCCAGAUUUUCCUUUCUUCUUCAUAUACCACUUUAUGGAUUCUAUAUAACUUUUUGUUGUUGUUGUUAUUUUUUGUUUUGUUGUUUUACUUAAAAGCGUAUUAUUCUGAGAUUUACGUAAUUGGAUUUUCUUUGAGAGCCAUGUGAUGACUGAGUCUUAGGCUACUGUCUCUAUGAGAUAGAUAGCUUAUUACCCUGAUAUUCUUUAAUGUUUUUUCCAAAGGCAAAUUGCCACUUGUCAUUUUCGCUUCUGAAAAAUAAAAGUAUGACUUAUUCACAAUU